rnacentral:rRNA from 1 species
GCACAAGCGGUGGAGCAUGUGGUUAAUUCGAAGCAACGCGAAGAACCUUACCAGGUCUUGACAUCCCCUGACAACCCAAGAGAUUGGGCGUUCCCCUUCGGGGGGACAGGGUGACAGGUGGUGCAUGGUUGUCGUCAGCUCGUGUCGUGAGAUGUUGGGUUAAGUCCCGCAACGAGCGCAACCCUCGCCUCUAGUUGCCAGCAUUCGGUUGGGCACUCUAGAGGGACUGCCGGCGACAAGUCGGAGGAAGGUGGGAUGACGUCAAAUCAUCAUGCCCCUUAUGACCUGGGCUACACACGUGCUACAAUGGGCGGUACAAAGGGCUGCGAACCCGCGAGGGGGAGCGAAUCCCAAAAAGCCGCUCUCAGUUCGGAUUGCAGGCUGCAACUCGCCUGCAUGAAGCCGGAAUCGCUAGUAAUCGCGGAUCAGCAUGCCGCGGUGAAUACGUUCCCGGGCCUU